rnacentral:rRNA from 1 species
AGCGAACGCUGGCGGCAGGCCUAACACAUGCAAGUCGAACGAACUCUUCGGAGUUAGUGGCGGACGGGUGAGUAACACGUGGGAACGUGCCUUUAGGUUCGGAAUAACUCAGGGAAACUUGUGCUAAUACCGAAUGUGCCCUUCGGGGGAAAGAUUUAUCGCCUUGGAGCGGCCCGCGUCUGAUUAGCUAGUUGGUGAGGUAACGGCUCACCAAGGCGACGAUCAGUAGCUGGUCUGAGAGGAUGACCAGCCACACUGGGACUGAGACACGGGCCAGACUCCUACGGGAGGCAGCAGUGGGGAAUCUUGCGCAAUGGGCGAAAGCCUGAAGCAGCCAUGCCGCGUGAAUGAUGAAGGUCUGAGGAUUGUAAAAUUCUUUCACCGGGGACGAUAAUGACGGUACCCGGAGAAGAAGCCCCGGCUAACUUCGUGCCAGCCGCCGCCGUAACAC